rnacentral:rRNA from 1 species
ACGCUGGCGGCAGGCUUACACAUGCAAGUCGAGCGCCCCGCAAGGGGAGCGGCAGACGGGUGAGUAACGCGUGGGAAUCUACCUUUUGCUACGGAAUAACUCAGGGAAACUUGUGCUAAUACCGUAUGUGCCCUUCGGGGGAAAGAUUUAUCGGCAAAGGAUGAGCCCGCGUUGGAUUAGCUAGUUGGUGAGGUAAAGGCUCACCAAGGCGACGAUCCAUAGCUGGUCUGAGAGGAUGAUCAGCCACACUGGGACUGAGACACGGCCCAGACUCCUACGGGAGGCAGCAGUGGGGAAUAUUGGACAAUGGGCGCAAGCCUGAUCCAGCCAUGCCGCGUGAGUGAUGAAGGCCCUAGGGUUGUAAAGCUCUUUCAACGGUGAAGAUAAUGACGGUAACCGUAGAAGAAGCCCCGGCUAACUUCGUGCCAGCAGCCGCGGUAAUACGAAGGGGGCUAGCGUUGUUCGGAAUUACUGGGCGUAAAGCGCACGUAGGCGGAUCGAUCAGUUAGGGGUGAAAUCCCAGGGCUCAACCCUGGAACUGCCUCUAAUACUGUCGAUCUCGAGUUCGAGAGAGGUGAGUGGAAUUCCGAGUGUAGAGGUGAAAUUCGUAGAUAUUCGGAGGAACACCAGUGGCGAAGGCGGCUCACUGGCUCGAUACUGACGCUGAGGUGCGAAAGCGUGGGGAGCAAACAGGGAUUAGAUACCCUGGUAGUCCACCCCGUAAACGAUGGAAGCUAGCCGUCGGGCAGUUUACUGUUCGGUGGCGCAGUUAACCCAUUAAC